AAGGCCUUAGUAAAAUCAUUACAUAGCCCUGUCAGAGCUAAAUUAUAGAAUCAGAAAAUCUAUAGGCCUUA
rnacentral:tRNA from 1 species